rnacentral:lncRNA from 10 species
GGAAGUCAUGGGCAUGGGUAAGCCCCCUAUAGAUUCCCACUCGAGUUGAGGAUAUUAACGAUUUUUUCUUUUUCUUUUCUUUUUUUCUUUUUUUUUUUUUUUUUUAGACAGGGUCUCUCUCUGUCGCCCAGGCUGGAGUGCAGUGGCGCGAUCCCGGCUCACUGCAGCAGCCUCAACUUCCAGAGCUCAAGGGAUCCUCCCACCCCAACCUCCCGAGUAGCUGAGACUACACGAAUGUACCACCACUCCCGGCUAAGUUUUGUGUUUCUCGUAGAAACGUGGUUUCGCCAUGUUGCCGAGGCUGUUCUCAAACUCCUGACCUCAGGAAGUGGGGUUGAGAAGGUGUAACAGCACCCCAGACUGACCACAGCGGCCACGACUGCACACAGGGGAACUUUGCCUCGCUCGACACUACAGGGUGAAAGAAACACAGAAGUUGUCAAGGAACGUGGCCCCUCUUCCUCUCUCAUCUCUCCAGGUGUCUUGUUUCUUUGCUUUAGUCCAGGGGUUUCACUUGCUGAAUAAACUGCCUUGAAAUG